rnacentral:misc_RNA from 1 species
GAUGAAGAACGUAGUGAAAUGCGAUACGUAAUGUGAAUUGCAGAAUUCAGUGAAUCAUCGAGUCUUUGAACGCACAUUGCGCCCUCUGGUAUUCCGGAGGGCAUGCCUGUCCGAGCGUCAUUGCUGCCCUCAAGCACGGCUUGUGUGUUGGGCUCCGUCCCCCGAUCCCGGGGGACGGGCCCGAAAGGCAGCGGCGGCACCGCGUCCGGUCCUCGAGCGUAUGGGGCUUUGUCACCCGCUCUGUAGGCCCGGCCGGCGCUUGCCGAUCAACCAAAUUUUUAUCCAGGUUGACCUCGGAUCAGGUAGGGAUACCCGCUGAACUUAAGCAUAUCAAUAAGCGGAGGA